rnacentral:rRNA from 1 species
CAGCCGUAAACGAUGCGCGUUAGGUGUAUCGACGACCACGAGUCGUCGAGGUGCCGAAGGGAAACCGUGAAACGUGCCGCCUGGGAAGUACGGUCGCAAGGCUGAAACUUAAAGGAAUUGGCGGGGGAGCACCACAACAGGUGGAGCCUGCGGUUUAAUUGGAUUCAACGCCGGACAUCUCACCGGAUAAGACAGCUGAAUGAUUGUCAAUCUGAAGGUUUUACAUGACUAGCUGAGAGGAGGUGCAUGGCGUCAGUGACUGU